UUUAACUGAAGAGUUUGAUCAUGGCUCAGAUUGAACGCUGGCGGCAGGCUUAACACAUGCAAGUCGAGCGGAGAGAGGUAGCUUGCUACUGAUCUUAGCGGCGGACGGGUGAGUAAUGCUUAGGAAUCUGCCUAUUAGUGGGGGACAACAUCUCGAAAGGGAUGCUAAUACCGCAUACGUCCUACGGGAGAAAGCAGGGGAUCUUCGGACCUUGCGCUAAUAGAUGAGCCUAAGUCGGAUUAGCUAGUUGGUGGGGUAAAGGCCUACCAAGGCGACGAUCUGUAGCGGGUCUGAGAGGAUGAUCCGCCACACUGGGACUGAGACACGGCCCAGACUCCUACGGGGAGGCAGCAGUGGGGAAUAUUGGACAAUGGGGGGAACCCUGAUCCAGCCAUGCCGCGUGUGUGAAGAAGGCCUUAUGGUUGUAAAGCACUUUAAGCGAGGAGGAGGCUACUUUAGUUAAUACCUAGAGAUAGUGGACGUUACUCGCAGAAUAAGCACCGGCUAACUCUGUGCCAGCAGCCGCGGUAAUACAGAGGGUGCAAGCGUUAAUCGGAUUUACUGGGCGUAAAGCGCGCGUAGGCGGCUAAUUAAGUCAAAUGUGAAAUCCCCGAGCUUAACUUGGGAAUUGCAUUCGAUACUGGUUAGCUAGAGUGUGGGAGAGGAUGGUAGAAUUCCAGGUGUAGCGGUGAAAUGCGUAGAGAUCUGGAGGAAUACCGAUGGCGAAGGCAGCCAUCUGGCCUAACACUGACGCUGAGGUGCGAAAGCAUGGGGAGCAAACAGGAUUAGAUACCCUGGUAGUCCAUGCCGUAAACGAUGUCUACUAGCCGUUGGGGCCUUUGAGGCUUUAGUGGCGCAGCUAACGCGAUAAGUAGACCGCCUGGGGAGUACGGUCGCAAGACUAAAACUCAAAUGAAUUGACGGGGGCCCGCACAAGCGGUGGAGCAUGUGGUUUAAUUCGAUGCAACGCGAAGAACCUUACCUGGCCUUGACAUAGUAAGAACUUUCCAGAGAUGGAUUGGUGCCUUCGGGAACUUACAUACAGGUGCUGCAUGGCUGUCGUCAGCUCGUGUCGUGAGAUGUUGGGUUAAGUCCCGCAACGAGCGCAACCCUUUUCCUUAUUUGCCAGCGAGUAAUGUCGGGAACUUUAAGGAUACUGCCAGUGACAAACUGGAGGAAGGCGGGGACGACGUCAAGUCAUCAUGGCCCUUACGGCCAGGGCUACACACGUGCUACAAUGGUCGGUACAAAGGGUUGCUACACAGCGAUGUGAUGCUAAUCUCAAAAAGCCGAUCGUAGUCCGGAUUGGAGUCUGCAACUCGACUCCAUGAAGUCGGAAUCGCUAGUAAUCGCGGAUCAGAAUGCCGCGGUGAAUACGUUCCCGGGCCUUGUACACACCGCCCGUCACACCAUGGGAGUUUGUUGCACCAGAAGUAGCUAGCCUAACUGCAAAGAGGGCGGUUACCACGGUGUGGCCGAUGACUGGGGUGAAGUCGUAACAAGGUAGCCGUAGGGGAACCUGCGGCUGGAUCACCUCCUUAA
rnacentral:rRNA from 1 species